rnacentral:tRNA from 1 species
GCUUGGGUGGCUCAAUCGGUUAAGUGUCUGACUUCGACUCAGGUCAUGAUCUCACAGUUUGUGGGUUUGAGUCCCGCAUCAGGCU